rnacentral:rRNA from 1 species
AAUAGAUACCCGGUAGUCCUGGCAGUAAACGGUGCGCGUUUGGUGUGGGAGGAAUCGACCCCUUCCGUGCCGGAGCUAACGCGUUAAACGCGCCGCCUGGGGAGUACGGUCGCAAGAUUAAAACUCAAAGAAAUUGACGGGGGCCCGCACAAGCGGUGGAGUAUGUGGCUUAAUUCGAUGCAACGCGAAGAACCUUACCUGGGCUUGACAUGCAUCUCUAAGUCGGUGAAAGCCGGCGAGUGCCGCAAGGUACAAUUUGCACAGGUGCUGCAUGGCUGUCGUCAGCUCGUGUCGUGAGAUGUUGGGUUAAGUCCCGCAACGAGCGCAACCCUGUGAUCUGUUGCUAACCGGCUUGUCCGGAGCACUCUGGUCAGACUGCCCUGUGAAACGGGGAGAAGUGGGAUGACGUCAAGUCAGCAUGGCCCUUAGCCCAGGGCUGCACACGUACUACAAUGCUCAGUACAGAACGAGCCGAAACCGCGAGGUGAGGAAAUCCCUAAAACUGAGCCCAAUUCGGAUCGCAGGCUACG